AUUGAACGCUGGCGGCAUGCCUUACACAUGCAAGUCGAACGGUAACAGGUCUUCGGAUGCUGACGAGUGGCGAACGGGUGAGUAAUACAUCGGAACGUGCCCGAGAGUGGGGGAUAACGAGGCGAAAGCUUUGCUAAUACCGCAUACGAUCUCAGGAUGAAAGCAGGGGACCGCAAGGCCUUGCGCUCACGGAGCGGCCGAUGGCAGAUUAGGUAGUUGGUGGGAUAAAAGCUUACCAAGCCGACGAUCUGUAGCUGGUCUGAGAGGACGACCAGCCACACUGGGACUGAGACACGGCCCAGACUCCUACGGGAGGCAGCAGUGGGGAAUUUUGGACAAUGGGCGCAAGCCUGAUCCAGCCAUGCCGCGUGCUGGAUGAAGGCCUUCGGGUUGUAAACUGCUUUUGUACGGAACGAAAAGACUCUGGUUAAUACCUGGAGUCCAUGACGGUACCGUAAGAAUAAGCACCGGCUAACUACGUGCCAGCCGCCGCCGUAAUAC
rnacentral:rRNA from 1 species